ACAGCCACAUCACGUUGAAACACCAAUUCACACACGAUCACCGAAGUUAAGCAACCUGGUUAGUACCUAGAUGGGUGACCACUUGGGAAUAUCAGGUGUUGUAU